rnacentral:rRNA from 1 species
GACGAACGCUGGCGGCGUGCCUAAUACAUGCAAGUCGAGCGGACUUUCAAGAAGCUUGCUUUUUGAAAGUUAGCGGCGGACGGGUGAGUAACACGUGGGCAACCUGCCUGCAAGACGGGGAUAACUCCGGGAAACCGGGGCUAAUACCGGAUAAUAUCUUCCUUCGCAUGAAGGAAGGUUGAAAGGCGGCGCAAGCUGCCGCUUGCAGAUGGGCCCGCGGCGCAUUAGCUAGUUGGUGAGGUAACGGCUCACCAAGGCGACGAUGCGUAGCCGACCUGAGAGGGUGAUCGGCCACACUGAGACUGAGACACGGCCCAGACUCAUACGGGAGGCAGCAGUAGGGAAUCUUCCGCAAUAGACGAAAGUCUGACGGAGCAACGCCGCGUGAGCGAAGAAGGUCUUCGGAUCGUAAAGCUCUGUUGUCAGGGAAGAACAAGUACCGUUCGAAGAGGGCGGUACCUUGACGGUACCUGACCAGAAAGCCACGGCUAACUACGUG